AUUUGGAUAUCUUAAGUUAAAGUUUAGUGUUGAAGUUACUGAUAUGAGUUUAAUUCUCUCCAAAUG
rnacentral:tRNA from 1 species